rnacentral:rRNA from 1 species
GUAGGGAAUCUUCCACAAUGGACGCAAGUCUGAUGGAGCAACGCCGCGUGAGUGAAGAAGGUUUUCGGAUCGUAAAGCUCUGUUGUUGGUGAAGAAGGAUAGAGGCAGUAACUGGUCUUUAUUUGACGGUAAUCAACCAGAAAGUCACGGCUAACUACGUGCCAGCAGCCGCGGUAAUACGUAGGUGGCAAGCGUUGUCCGGAUUUAUUGGGCGUAAAGCGAGCGCAGGCGGAAUGAUAAGUCUGAUGUGAAAGCCCACGGCUCAACCGUGGAACUGCAUCGGAAACUGUCAUUCUUGAGUGCAGAAGAGGAGAGUGGAACUCCAUGUGUAGCGGUGGAAUGCGUAGAUAUAUGGAAGAACACCAGUGGCGAAGGCGGCUCUCUGGUCUGCAACUGACGCUGAGGCUCGAAAGCAUGGGUAGCGAACAGGAUUAGAUACCCCUGUAGUCC